CUCUCUGAAAAUAUCACCUCUCUUAUAUAGGCCUUAGAAAUCUCGAACCUUCUAUGCUUCACUCCCAAGAAAUCUCCUAAAAAUUCCCAAAAACCGAAUCCAAUUUUUACCCCUUUUUUGAUGGAUAAAACAGACAAAUGGAGGGAGUGGAUCCAAUUUCACUCAAUUCAAUGCCUCCCAUUUUUUUUCCAAAAUUCAUCUUAAAAGAGUAAAAAUCCGAAAAAAAUAAAGAGGGCAUGUGAGGGAGAGGGAAUCUGUCAGAAACGGUUAAGCCACAUUGGAGAGAGAUGCAAGGAUGGACCAGCUGACUCGGCGAGUUAAAGCGCCCGAUUUUGGGCGUAAUUUGUCGAGUUGAAGCGAGGUAGAAUCGGCGUGGAUGCUGGGCGCCACUUUUCUGUAUUUGUCUCUAGGGUUAGAUGUAUUGUUUUGUUAGAGAUAGGUUAAGUUUUUAGAUGGGGAAAUGGGGCGGGUCAGAGAUUAUUAUGGUUUGGGCUGGGUAAAAGGGUGUAUUUGGUAUUUGGGCUGAGAGGGAAUUGGGCUAACUUAAAUUCCCAACCCAAUUAAACUACCCCUUCUCAAUUUUGUUUUCCUCUUCUUUUUCCCUUUUUUUUUCUUCUUUUUUUUAAGUAAUGAAAUCCUAAAAUUAAAUUUCUAAAUUAUCUAAAUUGCAAGAUUACACUAUUUAUUUACUUAAAAUAGUUGAAAGAUUACUUGCUCCUAAAUACAAAGAAAAAUCACUAAUCUACAAAUUAAAGGUAAAAUGUAAACAUGAGCCAUUUUUUAUUUUCAUUUUUAUAAAAUAAUUAGUUAACUAAUCAAACCUAAAAAAUAUAAAAACAAAAAUCUAAAUGCAAUGCAUGAUAUUUUUUGUAUUUUUUUAGGGUUUAAACAAAAGUAAACAUGCACAAAGAUGUAAACAAAUAACACAAAAAUCCUACAAAAUCCUAUAAAAUUGCAAACAAUUGCAAAAAAUUUAUUUCUUUAAUUUGUAGGAGUUUUUCACAUAAGGCAAAAGUCACAUGCUCACAACUGCCCCUCUUUGCUCGAAAACACGAAGAGUUUUUGGGCAAAGAUAAAGUAAGCAGAUACGAGCGAUUUUUGCCCGUUUGAAUACUCCGUGGGAAGCAUUUUUGAAAGAUCUGACCGAACCUUGCUUCCGAGGUUGCCUACAUAUCCUUGGCUAUAAAGAAAUCAGGUCAGUGUAGUUCUGGAAAGUGAUGGAAGGAUGAGUUGGAGAAUCGAGUAAGGUGUUGUUCCAUCGAGGUUCCGGUCCGCGGUCCUAUUAUUACAUCCGAAUCNNNNNNNNNNNNNNNNNNNNNNNNNAUUCUGUAUUGUGACUAUCUUCUGUUGACCAUCUCGGACUAUUGAUUCGCAUUCUUGCCGCGAGCUUCUUUUGUUGCUGACUUAAAUUGCAUUCUGAAGUGAAUUCCCUUGUUUUCCAAAUGGGUGCCUGAUUGACAAAACUUGAACUGUAUUCCCUUAUUUUCUAGGUGGGCGCCUGAUUGCCAAAACUUGAACUGUCUUCCUUCGAAACUUGAACCAUUUUCCCUUAUUCUCUAGGUAGGCGCCUGAUUGCUGAACUUGAACUGUCCUCCGUCGAAACUGCUUUCCCUUGAAACUUGAACUAUCUUCCCUUGUUCUCUAGAUGGGCGCCUGAUUGCUGAACUUGAACUGUCUUCCUUCGAAACUUGGACUACCUUCCCUUGUUCUCCAGGUGGGUGCCUGAUUGCUGAACUCGAACUGCUUUCCUUCCCCUGAAACUUGAACUGAUUUCCCUUGUUCUCCAGGUGGGCACCUGAUUGCUGAACUUGACCUGUUUUCCUUUCCCCUGAACUUGAACUGCUUUCCCUUGUUCUCCAGGUGGGCGCCUGAUUGCUGAACUUGACCUGUUUUUCCUUGAAACUCGAAUCAUUUUCCCCUGUUUUUCAGGUGGGCGCCUGACUGCCAAAACUUGAACUGUCUUCCUUCGAAACUUGAACUGCAUUCCCUUGUUCUCCAGGUGGGCGCCUAAUUGCUGAACUUGACCCGCUUUCCUUUGAACUUGUGUCGUCUUCCCUUGUUCUCCAGGUGGGCACCUGAUUGCAAUAAAACAGACAAAACUAAAGAAAUUUUUCUGCCCCAGUUUGAUAUUGGGAACAUCUGUGAGUGUUAACCAAUUUUUGUUAUUAAAAUAAGUUCUAAGCUAAAUUUCCUUAUCCUGAAAAAUUUCAAACCAAGUCUCAUCUCAAAAGUGAAAAACUUAAAUGCUAAAUUAUACUUCCCAAAAGCAAAACUCUCGUCAGACCUUGUCACUUGCGAGGGUCUCAAAACUUACUAAAUCUCGUUAUCCAGGAGGGUACUAGAAACUUACUGUCGAGCCUAUCUGGCACCUGCUUUCCUUACGGAGGGUUUCUCCGGAACAAACAAAAUUUUCUGCCCCUAUUUCAAUCAAAGAAAACUUGUGAGUUUAAACAUGGUGGUUGGUUUGCGGCCUUGACUUUGAGGGCGAUUGCUCCUUCACUUCCCAUGAUAACUUCGAUUUUAACUCGAAAUACCUUGCCUGUUUAUUGACUGUCCACUUUUUCUGUCACCCUUAGCAUGGAAAAUAGCUCUAAUUCGUUCAAAACCAAUACCAUUUAUCUAUUGCAUUGUGCUCAUGCAUUGACAUAUACUGAACCUUUGUGUUUCACAUGAAUCCCAAAGUACGAGAAUUGCCACCCACACAGUGCGCAUGCUAUUCUUUCCUGACUUAAACCACUGGCCUUGGCCUUGAGGUCUAUUGCUCCUUCACUUGCCAUGAUAACUUUAAUUUCCGCUUGGAAGACCUUUCUUGUCAUUGGUUAACCACUUUCUCUGUCAACGCUAUCACAGAAAAUACCUUUGACCCAUUCACCCAACAUCCUCUAUUUGUUGCAUUGUUUAUGAAUUGACAUAUACCAAACCUUUGUAUUUCACAUGAAUCCCAAAGUACGUUGAUUGUUACCACUUAGUGUGCAUGUUGUUCUUUCCUGACUUAUGCCACUUUGAUGUGCUAGCCAGAUCCCGUUUUGUGCAAUUGGAAAGUUAGUGGCAAAUUUUGAAGUCAUUUCUCACUUGUUCUGACCAAACAAACUCAGGAAGAGGAAUUAAACAGGACAAAGGACCAGAGUAAAGGACAAUGGAAAUAGAUGAUUCCUAACAAGAAAACUAGAAAGUAGAAACUUAUCAGAUGUGGAUACCGACUCUAAUGACCAUGACAUGCACCUUUGGAUUAAGUGGCCUAAUCUGUCAAGCAAGCCUAAUGUUCAACUCUUGUUGUACCUUUUCACAAUGAAACUGGGCUUCAAUGCUCCGAUUAUCCUAUCUGAUUCACAAUUCUUAUUCGACUUGUAGUGCUCGAAGGGUUUUCACCAUCAAGCCUCUCUCAUUUUGCUCUUUCUCUCAACUUACUCUCACCUUAUGGUGCCUGUGAAGGUUUUCAUCGAUAAGACUCUCUCAUUUUUUUUCUUCUUCUUUCCUCCGAUUCUGUAGAUGACAAGGCAUUGACCAUAGUAAAAACAUCAUGCGCUCCUGGCAUGGCUAACGCAACACUCUCAAAGAUUAUCUGGGAUGUCUUUUUGGACUGUAAUGUGGCUUUUGGAUAGGGUUAGAAAGGAAGGAUAUCACAAAGGCUCAAAACAACUAAGAUAACGGGGUUAAUUUAAUUACAACUUUUGGAAUCUAUUUUAAAAACUUUGCCCCAAUUCUGAAACAAGGGAGUUUCACUCUCUUUUUUUCCUUUUUGAGAUGGAAUUUCUAAGAAAGACUGCCCCACUCUCGACUUCGUGGGAUUACAAAAUAUUUUAUUUGGUAUGACCGAACCAUAAGGCUGCCUACAUAUCUUGUGGUGACAAGAAUCAAGUCAAACUUAGUUCACAAAGAUACGUUUUGUUACUAUUUUCCUUUUUUUUUCUUCUUUUUUUCCUUUUUUUUUUCUUUAUCUCUAUUUUUUCUCUUUUUUUUUUGAAUUUUCCUUCUAGAAUAAACUUUCCAAAAUAAACCUAUGGUGACAUGAACUUUUUUUUCGUAUGACUCUAACUUGAUUCCAAAAGAGGGGAGGUCAAAGAAAUCAGUACAGACUCAAAAGGGGAUCAAAGGGUACAAGUGUUUGGGUAGCUGAAAGAGGGUCUCCCAAUCUCUAAGAACACCAAGUAUAACACAUGCAAUUUGAAAAUAAAAAAUGAAGAUCACACAUAACAUUUCUUUUACAGCUUUGACAUUGAUAUCAUUGAUUUGCUUUUCACUUUUUUUUAGUGCUUUGUCAAGUACAGAACUCUCAUUAGGUAAUUUCUUCUUUACAAUGGAUACCCUCCGUCAAUUUAGAGCAAACUCCCUUGGCUUUAUCUUGUUACUUGAGGUGCACUUGAACUCAAAAUUGCUCGCUUCAAAUUGUCUGGGAUGCACUCUCCUUUAACGAAUUCUUGUCAUCCUAUUAACUUUCAAAAUUAUCUGCCCCAGUUUCACAUAGUUUGGGCUUCAAAUGAUCUCAAAAUGCCUUUACUUAUUUCCCUCAAAUGUCCUUAUCAUCUUCAAAAUUGUUUUAUUGCUUCAUGAUUAAACUAACUUUUAAGACCAAGCCUAGAAUUAUGCGUGCAUGUUGUUUCACUAGAGCCAACAAGAAAUGAACUAUAAAAGGAAAAGAGAACUAAGCAAAAAUUACUAGAAAUAAUAGAAAACAGAGAAUUGCAUUAGACAGAUGGUGAAAGGGUUUGAAUAACAAAACAAACAAAACACAUUGGGGCUACGACCCUAGAAAAACCUAAAUAACACUAAAAGGGGUACUAGGACUAAAUGAACUAGGCAAAUAAAAUGAUAGAAGGGUUUGAGUCACAAGAUAAUAUCCGGAUUACAACCCUGAAAUAACCCAGACAACAGAAAUAACAUCAAAAUGAACCACCAAGACUCCUCCCUGGCUAGCCAAGAGAGGAGCGUCUUUCUAAUUACCAAGCUCGGCAUCUUAGCCACUGAGUUCCCCAUCAAUAUCACUAGGACCUUCACCAACUUCAAUCACAUUGUCUUCACCAAGUGGCUCAUUGACUCCUUUGACCAACCCUUCAUCAUUGCAAACCAUUCCAACAAUUUGUGCGUCAUCAUGUACCUGUAGAGGAUUAUGUGUGACAAUUGGGGUAUUACUGUCUUGGACCACAAUUAUUACUUCUUGAAUCAUUCUUUCUAUUUCCCUUUUCAAAGCAUGACAAUCUUCAACAUUGUGACCCUAGGCGUUGGAAUGGUAUUCACACCUUUAAGCAGGGUCAAAGCUUCUCGCACGUGGGUCUAUAUAAUUUAGAGGAAUAUGCGCAAUCAUGUCGUAAUGCUUUAAUUUCUCAAACAAGAUUGCAUAGAACCCUCCUAUUCGUGUAAAAUUAUCUUUCAACCUUUGUUCCCUUCUACACCCUUGGCUUAAAUGUGGGUUAUAGGGCAUUUGAAAAUUUUGUGGAGGCUGGUGAAGCUUUUGCGGUGCUCGUGCUCGCCUUGUUAGAGUGACCCAGUGGUUGGACAGGUGGUCGGACGUUGUUCGGAGGAUAAUACUGGGUGGAUUAUGUGGAGCUCGUGGAUAUUCAUGGGGUCGGUAUUGAGGUUGAAAGUGUUUAGCAGGCAUGCCCACUGGAUCAUGUCGUUGGCGGGACUCAGCAACAUCUUUUCUAUCAAUGGGAGGAUUGUCCCAAGCAAUUUGUUUGUUCCAUCUGAACCAAAAUUCCCUAAAACUUGGGUUUCUUUUCCAUCUGAGAUAGGGAGGAGAGGUCUGGGACAAUGUCUAUAUUGUACUGAAAGUGUCGCAGAAAAUCUUGAGUAAUGUCAUUCCAUGUAUGCCACUUACCGACAUCUUGACGAAUAUGCCAUUCCAAAGCUGCCCCAGUCAGGCUCUCACUGAAAUACGCCAUCAACAACUCAUCUUUCCUGCCAACACUUCUCAUUCUACUGCAAUAAUCCCUUAGAUGGGCUACUGGAUCUCCACGCCCAUCAUCCAAAUUAAACUUUGGCAUCUUAAAACCUUUUAGCUUUCUGGAUAUCUCAUCUUGCUCCACUGUUUUAGCAGGCUUUGCAGUCUCACCGGGAGGCUCAAAAUAAGGAGCGUAAGAGUAUGGACCCGAGACCUUGAAAAUUGGUUAUGGAGCAUAGUGUUGGACAUCGGGAAUUUUGAACACAGUCUCGCUAGAGGAUCGAGGAAAGGAAGCAGGUGGAUGAGAUACAAAAACAUGAGUGGUCAAAGGAGCAGGAUAUAAGGUGGUUCUGGGGGGGUGGAGUGUGAAAAGGUUGUGGGGAGAUAUCCUGGACUUGUGACAGUGGCGGAAUGGUGACAAGGCGUUCAGUGUAGUUAGUGGAAACUGAUGGUGGAGGACGCCCACUAAUCCAGGCUUGGUAUAUUUCGGCCAUUUAUCCUUUCAACCUUAAGACCUCUUCUUUCAACUCAGAUUCUGAUUCAACAAUUCCCUUAGACGGAUCAAUAACCCCUGUGUCCAAGUCUUUGCUAGCCAUGGCUACCUUACUUUUUGACCUUGUGUUGUAUGGAUGAGUUACUUAAGAACCACAAACCAACCACCCUUCUGCUUAAUGAAGAUAACAAAAGGAACAAAAUGGGGUCACCCUAUUAGCAUUAGGGCAAUUAACAUCUAAAAAUAUCACAUUGCUUGCAAUGCACCUAACAACAAUUAACGGUUCUAGCAUGACUUCGAGGGUCACAAGUUCACUUGGCAUCAUCCCAAUUUUGUUCAUUUCAAACAUCUCUUUUCUUUCUUUUCUAGCACUUUUUAGCUUGCUCAUUUUCCUUUCUCUUUUUUUUUUCUAAUUGUCACUCUUUUCUCUCCUCUUAUUUCUCACAUCCCAUAAUGUCAUCUUUCUUUUUUUUCUUUUUUUUUUAAAACUAAAAAAAAUGAUUCGAUCGGACCCUAUGUAGGUUGCCUACGUAUCAUGACACCGCAUGAAUCAGAUCUUUGCAUAGUUCGAGAAGAUUGAAAAUAAAGUAAACAAACUAUCAUUCUCAAUUUCUUUUUUUCUUUUUUUUACCUUAAUGAAUACUUUGAUGAGAAAAGAGAAAUAAAAGAAGCAAAUCCUUUUUUUUUGAAUUUUUCUAGACUUAAUAUUCUAUAACUUAUUCUAAACUCAAAGCUUAACGAGCAUAUAUUUUUUCUUUUUGAAACAAAUACUCUAUGGGAAAUUAUUAAGGAAAAAACUCUAGAAGAGAAAAAUAUUUUUUGAUUCUUUUUUUAUGAAGAAAAUCUAAAGAAUAAACCAAAGAAAAAUAUACUAAAGGAAGUAUAAAAGCAAUUUUAUUUUGAGUUCUAGAUAUUAAUUUUCUAAAGGAAAAGCUACCUCAAAAUUAAUUUUUUUUUUUAAUUUCUAGGACUAGUAUUUCUAAAGAAAAUUCUAACGGAAAUAUAAAAACGCAAAAUAUUUUCUUUUUUUUUUGGAUUUUAGAUCUAUAAUACAUUUUUCAAAUACUAAAAAAGGAAGUACAAUAGCAAAAGACUCGACAUUACUGUACAAAAUUAGAAGGUAAAAAACGACAUAAAAAGAAAAACACACUCAAAAUAUAAAAAGAAAAUCUCCUUAAGCAACUCCUGAAUGAGCGAUCCUGACUAGAUGGUCCCGGGGUGUCUGUCAUGCUCAAACUCCGGUAAGUAGACCCACACCUGUAUGAGAAAUUAAGACCAAAUAAAGCUAAAGACCUAUAACGCUAUGUGAGACAAUAACCCUUCCUGUUAGACACAUGCAAGACAUGAUUGUGACUAUUUUUCUAAAUUAACCUAUGUGGCUAAAAGUGGCUAAAAAUGCAAGAUUUGGCUAAUACCUCGCGAAGCCAAGAACCUAAGAUUUACUAGGAAGACCGGAUCCUAUGUGGGUUGCUUACGUAUAAAGCACCGAAAGACGAGAAUCAGAUAUGCGUAGUUCGGGCAGAUUGGAUACGGGCGAGAAUUAAAAAAAUAACUAAUUUAGAGAAAAUAUAUUUUUUGUCUUUUUUUUUUGAGAAACAUAUCAACUCUUUUUGGAUUUUUUUCUUUUUUUUUUCUUCGAAAAAUGAUAGGAAAGUGCAAAAACCUUUUUGGGAUUUUCAUUCAUUUUUCUUUUUCUAAAAUAAUUGUGAAAGAAAAACAUAACUGGGCCCUACUUGCUUUAUUUACACACUUCAUCCUCUUUUCUCUCUCAUUUAUCCUCAGCCAUCGUUGGUCCACCAAAUGAUCCUUUUACCCUUGAAGAAAUGCAACAUGUAGCACAUAUGAUGCAUCACGAUAAUCUUUUAUUUUUGGAUACACCUGUCCUAGACAGACCCAACCCCUGUGUUGAGUCCCCUAAGUCAAAUGCACGUGAUGCAACAAACGUUCUACUAGGGAUCCGACAUGAGGUUAUGUUAUUUUAAGUUUAAACCUGGGGUUGUGUUCUUGACCUGGCUUACCCGAGCGGACAACCCGAGCCAAAGAGGGGGCAACGUACCGGGAGCACUAAAGUCUACCCGGCCUUGUUGUUGGCCCAGCCUCGUUCUUUUGGUAUGACUUCUACAGAAAAAGCAGGUCACGCAAACGUAUGCACCAUUUACAGACGACUCAGAGGGGUGGCGUAAGAAAACAAUUAUAUACAAUUCAAAUAAUAUCAAAGCGGUAAAUAGACGGCAAUUAACACAUUAGGUCCACAAAAUACAGUAAUAUCAACAAUAAUAAAGCCAAGUAUAGAUCAUAUUAACAAGCCCGAAUUCUUGAACCCUGAACCAGAAGUUCUGGGUUCUUAUCCCCAGCAGAGUCGCUAGAGCUAUCACACCUCCUUAUUCUACCUCCGGAGGGGUAUAGGGGAGUUUUUUUCAAUUUAAGUGACAAUCAAAACGGGACAAUUUAUGGUGUCCCAAGUCACCAGUUUAAAAUCCUGAAUCGAGGAAGUUUGACUCUUAUGUAUGGUCUGCGAACAUAGAAAUUCGAGUAAGGAAUUCUGUUAACCCGAGAGAAGGUGUUAGGUAUUUUCGGGUUCCGUGGUUCUAGAACGGUCGCUUAACUAUUAAUAAUUGUCCUAGUUAUCUGAUUAUUAAAUAUAUAAGACCUAUGUGCAUUUUAUUCCUUUUUAACUGCUUUUGAUUAUUUAGGAAAAUUCAAGAUCAUCCUACACUUGUUUGUUUUUGAAAACACAUCGUAAACCACGCUACAUAAAAUGCGCCCGCGGUUCACGGCAUGUUUAUUUUAUUAUUAUUAGUCAUGGUCGGGUCACAUGAAAUGCACAUCCAGAUUUGAAAAUUAUGUAUCACAGCUACGUCACGGGAACCAUACCCGUAGCUGGAAUAACUUUAUUAUAGCGCGCCUAAAGCAAACUACGAAUGUUCAAAGUUAAUUAUUUCCUAAUGUUUGAAAUUAUUGUUGGUGGCCCAAGAGUUAUGGAAGUCAAUUAUCCCGUACAUCACUAAUCUAAACAUUACAAUAACUAAUCUUAUAAGCCAACGAGAUCACCCAAGCUUACUGCCCAGUAAAGUUUCUUCACAUUGUAACAAUAUGUUCUACCUUCAUGCCUAACUCCCACCAAAACUGACCGAGAAUCAUUCACUCUACAAGACUCAACUUUAAAGACAUGCCUUCAUUUACACAUAUUUCAAUUUAUGAGCAUAUACCAACCAAGGAGUGCAAAGAUUCAAACAAAUUCAAUACCUUACCAUCAUGGGAUUUAGUAAUCGGCAAAGAUUCUUUGGUCCAGAGUCCAGGUGAGACUUGACUAACACAAAUGAUUUUAACAUAAUCCUAAGAAUUGGCGUCGAGUCACAACACUAACACAUGUGCUAUUGACCAAAGUUAAUACAAAUGCGCAUUUUAGAUUAGGAGAGGCAAUCAAACAGGUUUGGAUAGAUGCAUUUCCUCAUCAAUUAUAUAACUUGAAACUAACUUUCAGGUUUAAUAAAAUUAACAAUUCAAGCACGUAGGAUUCACAUCGAGCGGUUAAUGUUCACAAUCAACUCUAAGCUUUUAACAAAGGAAUUCCAACACCAAUUGUUUCUCGCCUUUACCGGUGCAACUCCAAAUCACAAACAGAAAACAAGACUAAACUAAUCAAGUUGAGAAGAGAUACUAACAUAUUCUAUUCAAGGAAAGAAAACGAUCAAAUAGGACUAUUAGUUGGCACAAGGACACAAACAGAGCAAGGAGAAGCAACGACUCUAGAGUAUCAUGCACGUAGACUAGAUCAUCAAUAGGGAGAAAACACCACUUAUUUCUAGCACUCUUUCGAGCUCCAGCUGAGAAGAGUAAACUAAAUAUUCAUAAAAGAUUACAAAAGGGCAUAUCACUAGAAUGAGAUUCAGCUAAUUGUUUCACAACUAACCAAGCUUCAUCCAAACAAAGCAAAAGUAAUGGAAAAACUACAAGUAUUAAAGAAUAAAAGGCGUCACAGAUUAAUACUUUAUUAGCAGCUAUACAGUUCAUCAAAUGCAACUUAUCACAUCGACAUCACAUAAAUCUCAGCUCAAUCAAGACUUAAUCUCUUAAUUAGAUUCAAAAAUCUGUUUGCAGCCCCUUACAAAUUAAUAUUUGACUAAGCUUGUUACGAUUGUGAAUCUGUUAACACCUCGCUAAGCAACUCCAAAACCGAAAAUCCCUUUAUCCUAGGCUCAAAUCAUGUUUUAACCCAUCUAAAAUAAAGUAUUAAAUGAGAAGAAAUAAACCUGAAUGCUCAAAACAUCAAUUAAUUCUAGGAGUAGAAUAUAAGAAAAUUCGGCAGCGAAAAUCCAAAGCAAUCGGCAGCCAAGAAACAGAAACUAGUAGCCACGAACGAGCCUCGAUCGGAACUCGAGUCGACAAACGACUCAAUCGAACUCCAUACUUGACACCCAAAAUCCAGAGUAAAAUAAAUGAAGAAGUAAAGGCGCAGGAGAAAUUGAACAACUAUAUCUUUUUUGUAUUUUUUUUUCUAGAAUGGAAACUAAACUAAAAAAAUCCGAAAAAUGAAGAGAAGAAAUCCUCUGUCUGACACCCUAAUAUUCUCCAAAUUUUUUGUUCUCCCAAAAUUCUGUUUCAAUUUUUGUUUUAUAUCAAUCAACUCGAACAAAAGAAAUCAGGAGAAAACAAAAAUAGAAAUCAGAAAUUUUACUCCUUAGAACCCUAGAACUUUUCUUUCCAAAAUUUUCCCUAAACAAAAAUCCUCUCCCAAAUUUCUAAAUUUUUUCUCUGAAAAUCCUCUCCCAAAGAUUUUGUUCCUCUCUUAAAAUAUCAUCUCUCUUAUAUAGGCCUUAGAAAUCUCGAACCUUCUAUGCUUCCCUCCCAAGAAAUCUCCAAAAAAAUCCCAAAAGCCAAAUCCAAUUUUUAUCCCCUUUUUGAUGGAUAAAACGGACAAAUGGAGGGAGUGGAUCCAAUUUCACUCAAUUCAACACCUUUCAUUUUUUCCAAAAUCCAUCUUAAAAGAGUAAAAAUUCGAAAAAAAACAAACAAAGAGGGCAUGUGAGGGGGAGGGAAUCUGUUAAGAACGGUUAAGCCACAUUGGAGAGAUGCAAGGAUGGACCAGCCAACUCGGCGAGUUGAAGCACCCGAUUUUGGGCGUAAUUUGGCGAGUUGAAGUGAGGCAGAAUCGGCAUGGAUGAUGGGCGCCGCUUUUCUGUAUUUGUCUCUAGGGUUAGAUGUAUUGUUUUGUUAGAGAUAUGUUAGGUUUUUAUAUGGAGAAAUGGGGCGGGUAAGAGAU
rnacentral:lncRNA from 1 species